rnacentral:rRNA from 1 species
AACGAACGCUGGCGGCAGGCUUAACACAUGCAAGUCGAACGGGCACUUUCGGGUGUCAGUGGCAGACGGGUGAGUAACACGUGGGAACGUACCUUUCGGUUCGGGAUAACCCAGGGAAACUUGGGCUAAUACCGGAUACGUCCUUUGGGAGAAAGAUUUAUUGCCGAAAGAUCGGCCCGCGUCUGAUUAGCUAGUUGGUGGGGUAAGUGGCCCACCAAGGCGACGAUCAGUAGCUGGUCUGAGAGGAUGANCAGCCACACUGGGACUGAGACACGGCCCAGACUCCUACGGGAGGCAGCAGUGGGGAAUAUUGGACAAUGGGCGCAAGCCUGAUCCAGCCAUGCCGCGUGAGUGAUGAAGGCCC